AUUGAACGCUGGCGGCAUGCCUUACACAUGCAAGUCGAACGGCAGCACGGGUGCUUGCACCUGGUGGCGAGUGGCGAACGGGUGAGUAAUACAUCGGAACGUACCUUAUCGUGGGGGAUAACGCAGCGAAAGCUGUGCUAAUACCACAUACGCCCUGAGGGGGAAAGCGGGGGAUCGCAAGACCUCGCGCGAUUAGAGCGGCCGAUGCCUGAUUAGUUUGUUGGUGGGGUAAAGGCCCACCAAGGCGACGAUCAGCAGCUGGCCCGAGGGGACGAUCAGCAACACUGGGACGGAGACACGGCCCAGACUCCUUCGGGAGGCAGCCGUGGGGAAUUUUGGACAAUGGGGGCAACCCUGAUCCAGCAAUGCCGCGUGAGUGAAGAAGGCCUUCGGGUUGUAAAGCUCUUUUGUCAGGGAAGAAACACCGGCUCUAACACAGUCUGGGAAUGACGGUACCUGAAGAAUAAGCACCGGCUAACUACGUGCCAGCAGCCGCAGUAA
rnacentral:rRNA from 1 species